ACUUUUUCUGGUUUCAAAGAAAAACACAAGCUGUUUGAUCAAGGUGUAACUGGCAUGGUCUUUACAAAACUGCUAGAUUAUUAAGAAUUGCACUUUAGAUAUGCUUUCUUCAAAGCUACUUUGAGGUCCCCCCCUGGUAUGUGGAGUUUAGUUUACCUCCAAGUCUGUCACAUCAUUUUGCUGCUCCUGCUAAGUAUAAUGGGAAAAUAUGCAUAUCCAGCUUUUGUAUACUGUAAGCUAAAUGCAAGGCAUUUGUUUGGCAAAGUUACUAAACUGAGCGGGCAGACCUGUCAAUGAAUACACUGGCCAACUGGGUCUGGGGGGACAGUAGCUUUAAUCUGCCCAUAUGGCCAUCUUUUGAAUACAAGGCACACUGGGGUCUGAGAACAAGAAGAGAGGAAAAACUACUUGUUCUUAGUUUUGCCAAUACUGACAUAUCAUUAUACAGGAGGUGUUAGUAUUAAUUUAAUAAACAUUAAUUGAAAGUAGCAGCCAUUCACGUUAUGUGUAAUUACUCCUCCAUGCAGAGCAGGUUUAAGGCAAUGCCACAUUUAGUUUUUUUGUCUGCAUUAUUUUUGUUCCUUAAACGAUGUUUAUUGCCAUAACUGUAGAUGAAAACAAACCAGGGCUCAUUUCAGCCAACAAUCAUCGUAGGACAUGAGCUUCUUGCAUUGAUUCACAUAGUAAAUUGAUAGUGAUCCAAGGCAGUCCUCUUGGUUUUGUUGCUGCUACUUGUGAAAAAUUCCAGGAGCAGGUGUUUGAAUGCAGUUAUAGGGCAUGUGGCUGAAAAACUGCCUUGUACUUCCCUUUGGAAAUUAGAAUGGAAAUUACUGUACUAUACAUUCCUAUUCUGGAGAGAUAAAGUGCUGCUCAUCCCAAGAAGUUUUUCAAAGUUUGCUGGAGCCAGGGGGGCUGGCCCUCAGCUAAGGCUGCUAAGACCUUUAGGAGUAGGACAGGUGUAGGGGUGUUACCUUUUCUUCUUGGCUAUACUGGCCAGUGGCAUAAAGAGCAGGGUUGUAACCGAAAGGGAGUGGAGUCAUGUAAUUUAUGUGAAAGAACCGAAGUUGGGCCAUACUUGAGGAAGACACUCUUCUGUCAAGUUGUCGAAGUUCCAGGAAUCCAGUGGAAGAUCCACCUGCCCUAGAAAUGUGUUUCUGCCAAAACGAUCAUAAUGCCAGACAGACAGCUCAAGCGAUCUCACAUGGAGCAUAGAUUCCGGAACUAUAUACUACGGCAAAGAAGAUAAAGACACAAUGAAUUUCAUUUCAUAUUCUACCCUUGAUAUAGCAUGUCAAAGUUAUAAAUAUUUAAGAGAUUGUUGUGCUGCUGUGUAGUAAAUCAUUUCUGUCCAAGGGCAGGGAAGGGGUUUCUUGCUGUGAAGGCUUCUUAGAGUAUCACUUCCCUUAGAUGCAAACCAUUGACUACAACAUGGAUGGAACAGAAUAUUUAAAAUUUUAUCUCAUAAACGUACUACUACAGUAAACCUG